rnacentral:rRNA from 1 species
AACGAACGCUGGCGGCGUGGUUGAUACAUGCAAGUCGAACGGGAAAGGAGGCUUCGGCCUCCGAGUACAGUGGCGGACGGGUGAGUAACGUAUGAUCAAUCUGCCCUGGAGACUAGGAUAGCCGUCCGAAAGGACGGGUAAUACUGGAUAAGCCCACGGUAAGGCAUCUUAUUGUGGGAAAAGGAUUGGGAUCUUCGGACCUUUCGCUUCAGGAUGAGAUCAUAACCUAUCAGUUAGUUGGUGGGGUAACGGCCCACCAAGACGACGACGGGUAGCCGGCCUGAGAGGGUGGACGGCCACACUGGAACUGAGACACGGUCCAGACUCCUACGGGAGGCAGCAGUGCUGAAUUAUUCGCCAAUGCGCGAAAGCGUGACGGUGCGACGCCGCGUGCGGGACGAAGGCCUUCGGGUUGUAAACCGCUGUCAGGGAUUAGAAAACCUAUAUAGUUAAUAGCUGUAUAGCUGAUCAGUCCCAAAGGAAGCACAGGCUAAUCUCGUGCCAGCAGCCGCAGUAAGAC